rnacentral:rRNA from 1 species
AGCGAACGCUGGCGGCAGGCUUAACACAUGCAAGUCGAGCGCCCCGCAAGGGGAGCGGCCGACGGGAGAGUAACACGUGGGAACAUACCUUUUGGUUCGGAACAACUGAGGGAAACUUCAGCUAAUACCGGAUAAGCCCUUACUGGGAAAGAUUUAUCGCCGAAAGAUUGGCCCGCGUCUGAUUAGCUAGUUGGUGAGGUAACGGCUCACCAAGGCGACGAUCAGUAGCUGGUCUGAGAGGAUGAUCAGCCUCACUGGGACUGAGACACGGCCCAGACUCCUACGGGAGGCAGCAGUGGAGAAUAUUGGACAAUGGGGGCAAACCUGAUCCAGCCAUGCCGGGUGAGUGAUGAAGGCAUUAGGGUUGUAAAGCUCUUUUGCCCGGGAAGAUAAUGACGGUACCGGGAGAAUAAGCCCAGGCUAACUUCGU